CGGAGACGGCCUGGACGGUGACCACAUCGGGGCGGCGACGAGGAUGGAGAUGCUGCGAUACCAUCUGAGCUCGAUCUCCGCUGUUGGAAUUUUCGUUUUCUUUUUUGUUCACAUGCUUUUACUUUUCUGUUCAUGUCUUUCCUGUGAAUUUUGGGGAUUUUUGUUUGGUGAAAUGUGCAUAUAUCAGAUUGGCAACUAGAUAGAUCGUUGGAGUACGGGCAGUGCAUCAGGCCAGGUAUUACUUUCUCUCUCUCACUUCAAUUCCAGUCUAUUGGUAGCUUAUUUUUCAUAUUUAGGUUGGUUAAUUUGCUUGGCUGAAGUCCUAUAGAUGCAUGGCCUGGCUGCAAAUAAACAUUAGGAAAAUCUGGACCUUGAACACUUCUUUUAGGCACUUGCGGUAGAAAAUUAAUCCUGUCCUUUACUCAAUCAGGGCUGCAGAGGAUCAAGUGGCUACAGAGAAGAUGGAGGAGCAGAUGGAUGCCGCAUAUUGUCAGCCUGAAAGCAUACAACUUUCGGAUAGAUCUGUAUAUUUCGUUUGAGUGCCGUUGUUGGAUUCUGUUGUUGGGGCUAAAGGAGCUGUGGAUCUGAGCUCUUUGUAGCUAACAUGCCUUCAUAUACGCGCACGGUGUUCACUGAAAUGCAAGGAAGACAUAAUUGAGUGUGUUCCUCAGAUCAUAUGUGAUUACUGAUGCAUUUUCACUGUGGCUGUAUAGAUAAGAAAACAAGAGAUACGGAUAUGGAUGUCUGCUAUUGAAUAUGGUGUGGCCAUUCACAGGCUUAAGAUCUGAUUGGCAGUGUUCUUGGGGUAUGAUUAGGUUGUCUUGCUGAUAACCCAUCCGGAUGAUAAGACUGUUUUGCUAACCAUGGACAAUCCUGCAACUGAGGAUAUUACACUUCCAUGGCUCCCAGAUUUCCUUCAAAGCGUUAAGUUGAUGAAACCAGUUCUGUUUCGGGAGCAGCCUCUCUCUCUCUCUCUCUGGGGUUGUUGUUUCACCAGUGCCGACUUCUUAUGAUUCUUCUUGAACAAAUGUUUGUUGUGUUCCGAGUUUGAAUGUGUGGAUCGUCUAUUUUUUGAAGGUGAUAUUUCAAAGAUUGUUUGGUCUAUUUUUUCUGACACCUUAGUCCUACAAACUAUCCAAGAUAUUCUAU